rnacentral:hammerhead_ribozyme from 1 species
GUACUGAUGAAGAGUCCCAAACGAGUGGGACGAAACAGCUGUUCAGUAC